rnacentral:rRNA from 1 species
GAUGAACGCUGGCGGCGUGCCUAAUACAUGCAAGUCGAGCGAACAGACGAGGAGCUUGCUCCUCUGACGUUAGCGGCGGACGGGUGAGUAACACGUGGAUAACCUACCUAUAAGACUGGGAUAACUUCGGGAAACCGGAGCUAAUACCGGAUAAUAUAUUGAACCGCAUGGUUCAAUAGUGAAAGACGGUUUUGCUGUCACGUAUAGAUGGAUCCGCGCCGCAUUAGCUAGUUGGUAAGGUAACGGCUUACCAAGGCGACGAUGCGUAGCCGACCUGAGAGGGUGAUCGGCCACACUGGAACUGAGACACGGUCCAGACUCCUACGGGAGGCAGCAGUAGGGAAUCUUCCGCAAAGGGCGAAAGCCUGACGGAGCAACGCCGCGUGAGUGAUGAAGGUCUUCGGAUCGUAAAACUCUGUUAUUAGGGAAGAACAAAUGUGUAAGUAACUAUGCACGUCUUGACGGUACCUAAUCAGAAAGCCACGGCUAACUACGUG